rnacentral:misc_RNA from 1 species
GGAGGUUCAAUGUCUGCAAAAGGUAACUUUUUUCUCUGUUUCUGUUCAAUUUCCUAGGCAUGAAGAGAUCCAGUUUGAGAAUAGUAGUCAGACAUUUUUAUUGGAUUCAGCAUGUAUUUCUUUUUGAAGUUCAAUUUCUAUCACUUCUGCUUAAGGAUUCCACCUUAGCUUUUACCAAUAAAAGAAAAAGAGGUCUUCCGCGUGUGGGGUGGUUAAGGGAGGCCAAGUGUGGGGAGGGGCUAACUAACACAUCUAUCUGUCUGUUGAUUUGUUUUGCAAAG